UAUACACUAGCCUGCACCCACAUUCAUAUCCAUAAUGGCUUUCCUCGUGCUCUUUGCUGCACUACUCGCCUUGUUCCUUCACCGGCUCACCAAAAAACACAGGUCUUACUCAACCUACAACCUCCCUCCCGGUGAUUUCGGCAUCCCAGUCGUCGGCCAAACCUUCUCCCUCAUCCGCUCUCUACGCAGCAACACUGAUGACCAAUGGUUCAGAGCUAGAGUAAAGAAAUAUGGUCCGGUGUCCAAGAUGUCAGUGCUUGGCUCACCGACGGUGUUGCUUGCUGGUCCGGCGGCCAACCAUUUCAUCUUCACUAACGAGAGCCUUGCCCUAACGCAAACGCGUGCCCUGCACGCUCUCCUCGGGCGAUCCAUACUUACGCUCAGCGGCGAUGAGCUGAAGCAAGUGCGCAGCGCUGUGCAGGGAUACCUGAGGCCCGAGAUGGUGAGGAGGUACGUGGGGAAGAUGGACCACGAGGUCAGGAGGCAAAUCAAGCUCUACUGGGUUUGUCACAACACUGUCACCAUCCUGCCGCUUGCAAGACGUCUUACACUUGGGGUCAUCUGUUCGAUUGUCUUCAGCCAUGAAGCAGCCGCCAUAGUAGAAGCCCUUGCUGCUGACUUCCAGUUUCUAGGUGACGCAAUCCUUUCAUUUCCAGCAAACAUUCCCUUCACCAGGUUCGGCAAGGGCAUGGAGUCCAGUGCCAAGAUCCGGAAAGCCAUCACCAGGAUUGCCCGGCAGAGGGAAGACUCACUACUGCAGGAAGGACAUGCUUCUUCAAGUACUGACUUUAUCACCCACAUGCUCAUUCUACGCAACCAGGGUGCGCAUUCCCUCACACUGGAGGACAUUGUUGACAACGUGAUGGGCAUUAUCAUCGGUGCACAUGGUACCACGUCUGCUCUUAUCACCUUCAUGAUCCGCUACCUCGGAAAUGAGCCAGAUGUCCUUGCCAAAAUCACUGAAGAGCAAGAUGAGAUAGCAGAUAAUAAAGGAACAGAGGAUGCUCUAACAUGGGAACAUGUUUCGAGGAUGAAGUACACGUGGAAGGCAGCAAUGGAGACGCUCCGAAUAGUUCCUCCAGUCUUCGGGAGUUUCCGGACUGCUACCAAGGAUAUCAAAUAUCAGGGAUAUGACAUCCCUAAAGGCUGGAAAGUCUUUGCAGCACAAAGCAUUACACAUUUGGAUUCCAGGUUCUUCAAUGAGCCCACCAAGUUUGAUCCAUCUCGGUUUGAUAAGCGAUCAUCGAUCACACCCUAUACCUUCUUACCAUUCGGUGGAGGACCAAGAAUGUGCCCGGGAACUGAGUUUUCAAGGGUGGAAACAAUGGUGGCCAUGCACUAUCUUGUGACACAGUUCAGGUGGAAGUUGUGCUACAAAGAUGAAACUUACAUGAAGGAUCCAAAGCCAACGCCUGUUUUUGGACUUCCAGUAGAAUUGGAGUUGAGAAGACCCCCUUCAACUGCUGAUGCUUCGAGUGCUAUGUCCAUUCAGGUUAAUAUAUAACAGCUUGUUUGACUGUGGCCAAACCUGGUCAAUCAUAGUGCCUUAUACCGACUGACCAUCCAUCGAAGUUACGGGCUUCUAGUGCAGUGGAUCGGUAGCCGACAAGGAGUGGAUCGACGCUGAAGCAAGGAAGAAUGGAAAAUUGGCUCGUGGAUCGGAAAGGCAUCGUAGCUAAUGGAGAUAAGAUGGAGCUGGCUUGUUACAUCAACAAGUUAUCUUAGGGUUUAGUUUGUUUUAGAAAGAUUGAUUUCUUAAGAGUUAAAUUGUAAUCUCGUUGUCAUCGACUAGGAGUUUUAGGCUAGGCUAUAAAUAGCAGAACUACGGGUCUUGUAAACUUGAUCAACCACAUCCAACACAAACCUUUACAUUACCUUGCAUUUAUCUUUCA